UAGAGCAUAAUUUCUGUUUUUUGUCCUUGAGAAGGCUCGUCUUCCUCUUGCGGAAGCUCUCCGCUCCGCAUGCAGCUGCUCAUUCUCGUAUCGCACGUCUGCAUCAACUCCUCUUCCGCAUCUCUGUCGAGUUAUGACUUGUGACCUAUUUUGCUGAUGGCUGGUCAAAUUUGUCGUGGAAAGGGAAGGCUCAAUGAGGCAGCACAUUGUUGUAGUUAGGCUUUAGCAGUCGUUGUCUGCCCCAAUUAAUUGUCACAGCAACCUUUGGGGGAAUAUGAUGAAGGUUCAUGGUCCAUUACAAGAAGCUGGCUGUUCAACCUUCUCCUCGUCGAUUGAGGCUAUUGCUUUUAAUCUAGUUCUUCCCCUUCCCAUAACCGAGAUGUUUUUCCUACAUUGGAGGAGAAGGUGGGCUGAGGUUGGUCCAAAAUUAUAUCAGAAUGAAAGGCCCAUGAUCUUCAACUAGAAGGUUUUCUGAACUUGGUUGCCUGCCCAUGCCUGCUGUGGUUGGCGAACCAAGAGCCUCUGAUGCCAUUCACCAUUCAAUGACUUGUCUAGAAAAAACAAAAUACUUAAUACUACCAAAGGAGCAUAUGUUGCUGGCAACCGAAACUGUUUGAUAUCGGCAUUUCCAAUGGGUUAAACACUUGCUGGAAGCUCGAGUCCAGACAUAGAAUUGAGUUGCAGCUUAUGACCAAGAGAUUGGAGUAAGGCCGAGAGAGCAAAGUUUGCUGGCCUAACACUUACCAUGGGGGAGAUGUUGAUUGGAGAAAAAAGAGGGAUUCCUUCCGACCAACCUCCAAAGUGCGAAAAUGAAAAAGAAGAAAGAAAAGGGAGCACCAAGAGUGGGAGGGGGCAAAUUUCUCUCCAUUGAGCUGAAGGUGAUGGAAUGAUUUUCCUCGAAGCAAACCUCAAAGGUGCUUAUAAAAAAAGAAAAGAAAAGAAAAAGAAACAUAUGGGGGCACCAAGACGGUGAGCUGAAGGUGAUGUGUUUUGGAUGAUCAUAAAUCUCAUUUUGUUCCGUUCUUCUUGGUAGACAAUAUUUGUGUGUUUUACAAUUCACAGGUACACAUAAAUGCUUUAUAUUCUCCCUGCUGCCAAGGUGUAUGCCUAGCUCUGUCUUCAAACACUGCUUUAUAGUGCUCAGAUGAGGCCUUCAAGUGUAUUUUCAUACUGAGGAAAAUUGCUGGCCAAUGAAGCUCAACCAAGAGGUUGUGAAGAAACAGAGCUUCCAACGUUUCAUCUUGGUGAUGAAGCCUUGAAGCCCAUGUCCUCUUGAAUAGCCUAUUCUCACGUCCUUAAUUUGUUAACUUGAACGUGCUCAUCUUCUUUGGGCAUCCCACGUGAGCCAAGAGUCGUCCUACAUUAAGAGAUGGAUUGUGCGCUGUGGAUUGUUCAACAAAGGAGAUGAAU